UAAGUUGUGGCUCAGUGGUAGAGGGCUUGCCUGGCAUGUAUGAGGCCCUGGGUUUGAUCCCCUGCACCUCAA
rnacentral:tRNA from 1 species